rnacentral:lncRNA from 1 species
UCUCGGUUUUAUUAUGAUUCGGUUGUUUGUGGUUCGUCGGAGGAGAGGGAAGUUCUCCGGCGGAAAGAGUGGCGAUGCAUGCGACGCUUCUUCUUGGGGGUCUGCGGCGAACGGUGUUGGAUGAGAUCUCGCCUCGGCGAUUGAUUCUCUCCGGUUUUUAGAGACCCAAAGAUGGUUGAGGAGAAGAUUGACGGAGCUUUUGAGUUCCGGGGUGGUCGGCAGAUCAGAUGUUUCGAUCUCCGGCGAAAACGAGAAGCGGUGGUGACACGAUGUCCUCGCAACACGUGUACC